GGGGAUUUAGCUCAGUGGUAGAGCGAUUGCUUUGGAAGCGCAAGGCCCUGGGUUCGGUCCCCAGCUCCG
rnacentral:tRNA from 1 species